GAGACACCUUAUGGAGCAGGACUUCAGUGGGGCUUUGGUGCUCACUGAGUCUGCCCCUUGAGUGUGUUGCU
rnacentral:pre_miRNA from 1 species